GUCCGCCCAGGCGAGCCCGCCUGCGCCGGGUACCGGCCGGGUGCGGCGGGGCGGGUGCGGCGCCCCCUGCAGGCAUGGGGGAGGCGCUGCCCUGCCGGACGCGGCCCGAGGCGUGAGGCGGCCUCCCCGCCCCGUUCCUCACUUCCUCCGAGGCCGGGGCACGAACCCUGCUGACACCCAUAGAGGAGCCGCACUGUGCCCGGGCCCCUUCUGGGCACAAUGACGGGCAACGGCCUCUGCCCGCCGCACUAGGUGUGGCCAGAUGCUCUUAACGAGGUAGAGAGAAUACACUUAGUGAUAUCAGAGCAAGACCCACCAUACUGUCUCAUGUGAAACUUUACGCUUUGACAAGUCAAGUUAUCAAUGGGGAGAUGCAGUUCUACGCCAGGGCCAAACACUUCUACCAGGAGGUGCCAGCCACAGAAGAGGGCAUGAUGGGAGACUACAUUGAGCUCUCCAAUACAGACAUUGAAUCCUCCAGGGAGUUUCUCAGGAAGUUUGUUGGGGGGGUGGGGAAAGCUGGCACCAACCGUGCCCUGGACUGCGGCUCUGGGAUAGGUCGUAUCAGCAAGCAUGUCCUGCUACCAGUUUUCAAGAGCGUGGAACUGGUGGAUAUGAUGGAGAAUUUCCUGGCUGAGGUCCCAAACUAUCUGCAGGACAAGGAGGACAGAGUAGAGAUGUAUUAUUGCAAAAGCCUCCAGGAAUUCACUCCAGCCCCACAAAGAUAUGAUGUCAUCUGGAUUCAGUGGGUUUCAGGAUAUCUGACAGAUAAAGACCUCCUGGAGUUUCUCAUCCGGUGCCAGAAUGGCUUGAAGGAUAAUGGUGUUAUCAUUCUCAAGGACAAUGUAGCCAGGGAGGGCUGUAUCCUGGAUUGUCUGGACAGUAGUGUGAUUCGAGACCUGAACAUCCUCCACAGCCUUAUUGAAAUGAGUGGACUCACCAUCCUACGAGAGGAGAGGCAGGAGGGAUUCCCUGAGCAGUGUGUCCCUGUCUGGAUGUUGGCCAUGCAGAAACGCCCUGGCCAUUCCUGAUUGUACACUGAGACUGCAGAGACUGGACUAUGGAUGAACUGCAGGACUGGGAAGGAGAGAAGCAUCUGCUAGAACCCUCCUAACCAUGCACUGCUACUACUACAACUCUAGGGCAGCAACUCCUAAAGGAUCAGGGGAGAACUACAAUUAACUCGGCUUCUCCAGGGAAUAGUCUGCUUCUAAAUCCUGCCUGCUUCAUCAUUCUCUCAAUUUUUAAAAGGCUUUCUAACAGCUCCUUGUCAGAUCUCUCUUUCAUUAAGGAGUCAAUACUGGACAAAACUAAACUAAUUAAUAGAAAGUAAUUAGGUCUGAAGUUUCUGUAGUGGUUAAGACAUUUUUGGAGUGUUCUGUAUGAGGUGUUAACAAAUAAGCCUAGUUUUCACUAUGGCACUUAAAUCUUCUUGGAAUUUAAAAAGGAUCUGUCAGAUCACUGAAGCAGGAAGUUGAAAUAACUUCUGGAAAACCUAACCCAAAUUCUGUCAUCACUAUCUGUACUUUAAAAUAUUUAAACCAAAAAUCCAGAGACGUCUGCCAUGGUGCAGAAUACUUGGGAACUGCUGGAGAUCCUAGAACAAUCAUGUAUGUGCCAGGCAUAUCUGAACGGUAUUGAUCACUACAAUGGUGAGAGAACAGCAUUGUGGAAAUAGGGAAGUAAACAAUUUUAUACAAGUCCAAACAGCUGCCACAUCUCACAGGGUAGAAUGUAUCGGCUGUUCAUUUACGCACCAGAGCAGGUGCAGUUCCGUAAUGAGAGAUGCAGUUCCAAAAUGGAUGUAGAAUGAUAGUUGGGUUUAGGAUGAAAGGCAGAAUAUAAAUGACUGGUAUAGUUUUCAGUGAAAUACAUUUUUCAAGGUAAAAAUGUUCUCCCCAUAUUUUGUACAUCUUUCCUGUUUGAAUGUCCAGAAUACAUAUACAUAAACAUAUAAUGAAACUUGAUUCCCUUAACUAUGUGAGAACAGAGACAAGUAAAAAUCUUAAUUUAUUAGAAAACCCCAUAUUUCAUGGUUCCCACAUUCCUGGAAAUUAAUGUUUCAUGGCUAUAUUGCUUCCACAGUAAAAUAUUAAAGCUUUUCUGAUGACAUAAUGAACCUCAAUAAUAAAGAAACACAAGCCCUCCAGGGGCUUAAAUGCAUGAGGUUGCUGCAGACUGAAUAAUGUUUUGGUUUCCUCCUUUCCAAGGUAUAUUUUAAUUCAAGAACUCCCACUCAGUUAGUGUACGCCACCCUUAAAUGUUCAUGAAUUUAGGUAAGGGCCAUUCUUGGCUGAAAAAUUCAGGGCACUCUGGACUUUACCAUAGUAUAUAAUAAUAACAAUGAAUCACAAGUUUCAAACAGAAGAUCUUGCUCAAAAAUCAUCUAUGUAUCUGUUGCUCUUUGGUAUUCAAAGACUGGAUAAUCAAAUCAGUUUCUCUGCCUCAACUUUAAGGUUAUUUAAACCAUGCAUUUAAAGAAGUCUUUAGCUCAUCAGAUUGCGGUGGGAGUUUAUAUUUCAUCUGUGUCUUACUCAUUUAAGACUUGUUCCCGAUCUUGACAUUACCAGAAAUUUAAUCCAAGAUCAAGACCCUGGCUGAGGCAAGGUUCACGGAACAUUCAGGGUCCUUCAAGCUCAAGCCCUCAUUCACCAUCAACGGGUACUUAGUGAAAUACCCAAAUAGUCCUUGAAUCAGAUGUUUCUCCCAGGUGACCCCUACUCAGGUAAACGCUUAGCCAAAGUGCAGUAAAGCCCACUUCUGCCAUGUCACCACCAAAACUCUUGGUGAUGCUUGGUUUCCCUAUAUCAGGUCCAGUGCUUCUAUUCUGUGUGACUGAAGGCCAAGUAUUAUCUUUAUUAUAUGAAUGUGAGGUUCCUUGCAAAAGAUCCUCAAGCCCUGACAGUAGCCCCCAAGUGCUACUGCAACCCAAAGAAAAUGUAAGGAAGCAAUUAUUACAGCAGUCUGAACAGCAAUCCCAACUGUGCAGCUCCAGCAACCAUCAAAGAUCAAGCUGUUCAUGUUCCAAAGGCAACUCAAACAUUACAAAUGUCCUUUCAUUCCUAAUUGGAAGAGAGAGCCAUCAUUUUGAAACAUACCACUGAGUGGAUGUUCUAAAAUAUUUUGUUUCAGAAAUACUGAAAUGAUCAUAUCAAAUAUUUUUAGUUUGACUUUCUUGUUUGGAUGUUUAUAUAAUCUAGUCUAAACUGACAUGUUAUGUGAGAUGAUAAUAUAAUACAUUAUGUAGUACUGUAAUAGUCAAAGUGAAACAUUAGUACCCUACAUAAUACACUAAUAAAAUCAGUACAUUCCCUGCCCCCAGAUUUAGUGAAACAAGUCAGCAACUUCCAGAGGAAACAGCCAUUUCAAGAGGAACAGUCCUGUCAAGAAGUAUUUGCCCAGGCUCUUUUUCUCCAGAUGUAUCCCAUCGAUUCAGGCAGCUUGCAGUGUGCCUGGUCUAGGGAGCAGCCACCCUAGGCUCUUUUGACAGGCAAAAAGAAGACACUGGCACAUCCAGAGCAAUUCAGACCACCUCAGAGCUGAACCAACUUGAAAUAAGAGAGCCUCCCCUCUCCCUGGUGGUUGUACAGUGGGAAUGAAAGUGCAUCCUUGUUAUAACCAAUUCAGCAUCUUCAUUGUUAAUGUCUAACAGAAGUGCUGUGUGACCUGAGGAGCUGUCAAAACUAGAAAAAGGCAUGGACUUGGAUAACCAAAUACCCAUUAAAAAUCAAAGUCACAAUACUGGGGCACUACAUUAAUGGGAGCAAUAUAUCACUGCAUAAUGCCAGCUGACACAAGCUUUGCCAGUUAUUCCACAGAGUGCCCUGAGUACCUUUAUGCCAUUCACUUGUUUUUUCCAUUCUCUUAAUCCAGGUUCCCCAGAGUGUUUACAAUGGCAUAUCAGACAGUAGGCCUGUCCAGAGGAACUUGACUGUUAUGUGUGAUUAAAACCAGUUGUGUUGCA